GCGUUGCCCAGACAACUAGGAUGUUGGCUUAGAAGCAGCCAUCAUUUAAAGAGUGCGUAAUAGCUCACUAGUCGAGUGACACUGCGCCGAAAAUGUACCGGGGCUAAACAUAUUACCGAAGCUGUGGAUUGUCCUUUGGACAAUGGUAGGAGAGCGUUCUAAGGGCGUUGAAGCAUGAUCGUAAGGACAUGUGGAGCGCUUAGAAGUGAGAAUGCCGGUGUGAGUAGCGAAAGACGGGUGAGAAUCCCGUCCACCGAUUGACUAAGGUUUCCAGAGGAAGGCUCGUCCGCUCUGGGUUAGUCGGGUCCUAAGCUGAGGCCGACAGGCGUAGGCGAUGGAUAACAGGUUGAUAUUCCUGUACCACCUAUAAUCGUUUUAAUCGAUGGGGGGACGCAGUAGGAUAGGCGAAGCGUGCGAUUGGAUUGCACGUCUAAGCAGUAAGGCUGAGUAUUAGGCAAAUCCGGUACUCGUUAAGGCUGAGC
rnacentral:rRNA from 1 species